ensembl:lncRNA
AUCAGCACAAUGGACAAUGCCCUAUGCACUAAAACGAGGCCGUUUUGGUAAUGAAUAUUUCUAUAAUAAUUCACCUAUUACAAACAGCCUACGUGAAUGCAGCAGUACACACAGCUGUCUUACCAAAAUAUUACAAACUAAAUGCUGAAAGUAGUAGCCUAGUUAUUCAUGCAUGCAAACUUUUUUUUCUAAGAGUGUAGACUUACCUGGGCUCUUCCAAGAUCGUCAGGAACAGUCAGAGUUGGAGGGGCCUGAUGAGCCAUUAUCCUGGGGGAGCUUGUGGAAUGGUGGGUAGGCUCUGCACCUGACGCUCGGUAGCAUCGUUGCUGCUGGGCUUGGCGGCAGCUUCGGUGGUUUGAUGCUGCUGCUGGUCCUUGCUCUCCUUUUCCUUUUGGCGAAGCCAAUUUAUAAUAUCCAUUAUGGCAGUGGCAGAUUAUCUGGUUAGAGCUAGCUAAAUAGGCUAAGGCAAAUAAUACUGACACUUUUCACGGCUAGCUUAGAAGCUAACUAAACUGUGGUGGUGGGGCAUGAGGCAGAGAUGAGUGAAACAGCUUCAAUGGUAAAUUUGACCCUGCCCUUAUAUAUCAAAAUCUAAUAUUACAGAUGGAGGCGCAUCACGUUAUUCACUUAGCCUACCAGAGAUGAGAAGCAUUUUCCACACUUUUUAUGGAAACCCAAAGGAGUCAAACCUAACCACCUCAGUGGCUUUCCAUGGCCCCCCUAUACACACCGCGGUGCGAUGUGUCCAUUGUGCUGACACAUUGCAGCAGAGAUGCACAUUUUGUGCCAACCGACAAAUCAAUCAUUUGACCUUUUUUGUUAUUUUUAUACAGGGACAUAAAACUAAAACUGAGGGGGGGCACAAGUUUCAACUGAGGGGACUGAGCCUCCUUUUCCCCCCUUGUGGAGUUGGGCCGAGUUCCAGUGUAACUUGUAACAGAUUGGCUUCACGUCACACAUACUUCAGUGUUCAGGCCAUCCACCCUACGCAGUCCUGGCCUGCCUGAUGCGACUCAAGUGGUAGACAGCUAGGGAGAGCUGUGACACACUGAUCUGGAUAAAACUCCUAAAGUUGUUUUGGAUGGGGGCAGCGCUCGGGGGGGCUGUGAGUUGAUGGCCAUGUUGGUGUUUGAGUGAGAAAGACACAGACUUUCCAGACUCUUAAGUCAGGCGGACUUUGCAGACUAACACAGUCCACCCCCUCAAACACUGUUGGGAUCUAGCCUUAACGUUAACUAACUGGCAUGCAAUUCAAGCGUGAGGCCGAGACGUUGUCUGGAAACAACCAUCUAGCUACCUAUUGGCCAGUAAUGGCAGCAUUUGAGAAGAAGCUGCUCAUAGUGGGAGAUGGAGCGUGUGGAAAGACCAGUCUGCUCAUCGUCUUCAGUGUAGACCAGUUCGCCCACUGUCUUUGUGCAAUAUGUACUUGUAUAUGAGUGAAUUUGCUAUAUGAACACUUCCCUUGUGAGCCUGUACUGCAAUGUAACUGAAGUGCUCAGUCAGGUGACAUGUUGUGUCAUACCUGCCAAUUUAGUGUACACACUGUGACCUAUAGUCUUUAUGAUUAUUUGGAAUGUUUGAUCAUGCAGGCAUAACGUUUUUUGAAAUAAAUGUGCGUCAUAUAAAACCCUAUGUGCAUCUUCAUAUGCACGCACAAGGACCAGCCUGGAAAACUGUUGUUAACACAAGCGUUAACAGGUAUCUUUUGGUAUUUGUGUAAUAAUAACUAUGUUACAUUUUUUUAAAUCUCUGUUCUUGCUUUGUCUAGGGUGUUUCUUAAUCAUGCCUCAUCUCUGCCUGGUCACACCCAUGAAACUAGCCAACUACCAACACAGAAUCAAAUACCUGUAGCUCAGGAGUGGACUACUAACAUAUAUGUGAUGUUCUUCUCUUCACCCAGUGGUUGCAAAAGAGAAGCAUUCUAGAAAUGUGCCUUUUGAGGGCAUGUUUACCUACAGUAUGUUAAAGCAGACUUUACCGGAGGAAAGUAAAAUAGGUAGUGCACUAGAUAAGGUGUCCCAGACUUUACCAGAGGAAAGUAAAAUAGGUAGUGCACUAGAUGAGGUGUCCCAGACUUUACCAGAGGAAAGUAAAAUAGGUAGUGCACUAGAUGAGGUGUCCCAGAUUUGACCUUUGUUCUCUAUCGCCAUUUCCUGCCUGUGCAUAAAGUCAACACUGCACAGCAGAGGUUUGUCACCUGUAAAGUUGUACAGGUUUAGAGCAUGUUGUAAACAGGUUUGUUUCUAUGCCAUCAACUACUUUGUAUUGUAUAUGCUUUAAGUAGUUUGUAGUCUUCUCUUUCUGGAAUGUGGAAGUUUUACCCUCCCCAUCCAGGCCUAACUUUAACAUCAAGGAAUGUCUCAGACUAUAACCACAACAGGCUAAAAGCUUAUUUUAAUUUUAAAUCAGGUCACUAUCUUUAAUUCACUAAAGCUUCUCUCACAAAAAACUAUUUUUUAUUCUCAACAAGAUUUGGAUUUAGGCUAUUUGCAAGUUUAUGUAACUUCUACAAGUGGGCUGGCUUUAACUGCAGUUUUCAAUAAAGCAAACUUGGGGAUUGGCUGAAAGUUUCUCCACUUCCCCUUAGCAACAGCCAACUGAGUCCUGCCCCUGAAACUUAAAAAGCAACAGUUUCCCAGAAGUCAGCUGACACAGAAGUUUAUCUGUGACAGCAGAGAGAAUGGAGACUAAUCUUCUACGCAUUCCAUUUGACUUCUGAAUCAAAUGGUGCACUGGUACUUUGGAUUAAUAUGACAUGAGAUGUAGUGCAGGGCCAGAGUAUAGCCUUGGGAAUUCUAGAGUUUGCCCAGUUCCCGUAGUGCUGUAAUACAUGCCACCUCAGUGUGAACUCUGAACCCAAUCCCACACACUCAGAGUUGCAUGGCCAUGGGGCUGAGCUCACAUCUCAUCCACAUGGUACACUGUGUCAUGUCCUCAAAUGUAAAGCACAUUCAUUGUCUUUGUCAGUUGAACUGUUAAUCUUGCAUUGGACUUUCUUGCCUUUGUAGGAAUAAUUUGCUGUUCCACUUUUGGACUACCUUGCCUUCAACUGAAUAACUUGUUCCACAUUUACCAACAUUAAGGCCAAAUUAAUAUUACACUGAACAAAAUAUAAAUGCAACAUGCAACAAUUUCAAAGAUUUUACUGAGUUACAGUUCGUAUAAGGAAAUCAGUAAAUUGAAAAAAAUGCAUCAAGCACUAAUCUUUGGAUUUCACAUGACUGAGAAUACAGACAUGUAUUUGUUGGUCACAGAUACCUUAAAAGAAAGGUAGGGGCGUGCAUCAGAAAACCAGUCAGUAUCUGGUGUGAGCACCAUUUGCUUCAUGCAGCCUGACACAUCUCCUUCGCAUAGAAUUGAUCAGGCUGUUGAUUGUGGCCUGUGGAAUGUUUAUCCACUCCUCUUCAAUGGCUGUGUGAAGUUUCUGGAUAUUGGCGGGAACUGGAACACGCUGUCGUACACAUCGAUCCAGAGCAUCAUAAACAUGCUCAAUGGCUGACAUGUCUGGUGAGUAUGCAAGCCAUGGAAGAACUGGGACAUUUUCAACUUCCAGGAAUUGUGUACAGAUCCUUGCGACAUGGGGCCAUGCAUUAUAAUGCUGAAACAUAAGGUGAUGGCAGUGGAUGAAUGGCACGACAAUGGGCCUCGGGAUAUCGUCAAGGUAUAUCUGUGCAUAAAUUGCCAUCGAUAAAAUGCAACUGUGUUUGUUGUACAUAGCUUAUGCCUGCCCAAACCAUAACCCCACCACCAUGGGGAACUCUGUUCACAACGUUGACAUCAGCAAACCGCUUGCCCACACGAUGACAUACAAGCUGUCUACAAUCUGCUAUUUAAUCAUCUUAUAUGCCACACCUGUCAGGUGAAAGCAUUAUCUUGGCAAAGGAGAAAUGCUCACUAACAGGGAUAUAAACAAAUUUGUGCAGAGAAUUUGAGAGAAAUAAGAUUUUUUGUGCGUAUGGAACAUUUCCGGGAUCUUGUAUUUCAGCUCAUGAAACAAGGGAUCAACACUUUACAUGUUGCGUUUAUAUUUUUGUUCAGUAUAAGUUUACUUUUUCAAACUUAUUGGCACAAGAGAUACAUUUUAACUGUCCCUUUUCUCAGUACAUUGUAGUCUCAGGGAGGGCAGUAACCUCAGAUGUGAGGGCAUAGUGGGCCAUUCCAGAUAGGGCCUGUUUUCCCACCCUCUGUGAGAGGACAACAGUGCAGUCCAGAGACAAAUAUUCCCUACAGUAGGGGUGUAACAUGUUCCCAAGAAUUCCAACUCAUAACAUACCGGAAGGAAGCAGUGGGUGGUGCAUGUUAUGUUACUAAGAAUACCAAUCCAGCCAGAACACAGCAUUCUUUGUGGAUUCUAACUUGGAGACCAGGCAACACCCAUCUUUGAGGACAAUUCCACCCCUUGCAGUGGUUAUAGGCAAAUCUAGUGUUUUGACAUCCACCAUUGUGUUUAAUGUCAAUGGUUUACUUUUACCUUGAAUAAUUUGUUUCACGUUGCAUGCAUAGGUGGUCAUUCCAUUUACUGUGUAACUAUUUUGAGAGUCACAAAUGCAUUAUUUCAACUGCCACAGUGUUAAUAUGUGUCUAUACACAGUCAAAUCAAACUUUAUUUGCCACACGCACCAAAUACAAGAAGUGUGGACUUUACCGUGAAAUGUUACUUACAAGCCCUUAACCAACAGUGCAAUUCAAGAAGAAGAAAAUAUUUACCAAGAAGGCUAAAAUAAAAAGUAAUAAUAAAAAGUAACACAAUAAGAAUAAGAAUAAGGAGGCUAUAUACAGGGGCACCGGUACCGAGUCAGGGUGCGGGGGUACAGGCUAGUUGAGGUAAUCUGUACAUGUAGGUGGGGGAGAAGUGACUGUACAUAGGUAACAAACAAACAGCGAGUAGCAGCAGUGUACAGGGGGGUUGGGGGGGUCAAUGUAAAUUGUCCGGUGGUGAUUUUUAUGUAUUGUUCAGCAGUCUAAUGGCUUGGGGGUAGAAGCUGUUGAGGAGCCUUUUGGUCCUAGACUUGGCACUCCGGUACCGCUUGUUGUGCGGUAGCAGAGAAAACAGUCUAUAACUUGAGUGACUGGAGGCUCUGACAAUUUUCUGGUCUUUCCUCUGACACCGCCUAUUAUAUAUGUCCUGGAUGGCCGGAAGCUUGGCCCCGGUGAUGUACUGGGCCUUUACGCACUACCCUCUGUAGUGCCUUACGGUCAGAUGCCGAGCAGUUGCCAUACCAGGCGGUGAUGCAACCGGUCAGGAUGCUCUAGAUGGUGCAGCUGUAGAACCUUUUGAGGAUCUGGGGACCCAUGUCAAAUCUUUUCAGUCUCCUGAGGAGGAAAAGGUUUUAUUGCGCCCUCUUCACGACUGUCUUGGUAUGUUUGGACCAUGAUAGUUCAUUGGUGAUGUGGACAACUCUCAACCCGCUCCACUACAGCCCCGUUGACGUUAAUGGGAAUACAGGGAAUACAGGAGGGGACUAAGUACACACCCCUGAGGGGCCCCAGUGUUAAGGAUCAGCAUGGCAGAUGUGUUGUUGCCUACUAUUACUACCUGGGGGCGGCCCGUCAGGGGAAGUCCAGGAUCCACUUGCAGAGGGAGGUGUUUAGUCCCAGAGUCCUUAGCUCAGUAAUGAGCUUCGUGGGCAUUCUGGUGUUGAACGCUGACCUGUAGUCAAUGAAUAGCAUUCUCACAUAGGUGUUCCUUUUGUCCAGGUGAGAAAGGGCAGUCUGGAGUGCAAUUGAGAUUGCAUCAUCUGUGGAUCUGUUGGGGUGUGUUACGGAUACAAGUGUUACGGAUACAAGUAUCCUGUGUGUGUAUCCUGUGUGUGUUUCUUUUCUCUCCUUCUCCCCUCACAGGUGAAAAUCAUCACUCUCCAAUCAGUCAACAAUCAAUCAUCAAUCAGAAGACAUACCUCCUCCUGUUUCCUACCCUAUCACAGUUCCUUUCCCUUGGUUUAAAAACCCCAUCAGUUGUUUGCUCUAGAGCUCAAUCUCUCUGUAAAUGCCAUGUAUGUAGAUCUCUGUGUUUCACUCUCUCUUUGUGUCUUAACCUCUCUUUUGUUUGAGCACCUCCAAAUCACUUUGUCAUCUCCUGUGAGUAUUGUUUUUGGUUAUGGUGUUUGUGUUUGAUUGCUGGUGGGAAAAGGGGAAACCAAGACAAGUCGCCCAUGGGCAUACACUACCCAUAGGUAGACUUUGUUAAAAGUUAGAACUAGUUAGAACUGGGUGGACCACCCACUGUAUUUUUGGUUAGUUAGUUAGCUGUUAAAUUAGGCUAGUCUAGCUUAGGGGUGUUUUGGAUGCUUAUUGUUUCUUUCCUUGGGUCCAGCUCAGCCCCUUUUCCUGCUCCCCCCAUUACCGUGUGUUUUGCAAUAAACCCUGAGUUUGACGGUAUAA